rnacentral:rRNA from 1 species
AACGAACGCUGGCGGCGCGCCUAAUACAUGCAAGUCGAGCGAGAAGGUGUAGCAAUACACUUGUAAAGCGGCGAACGGGUGAGGAAUACAUGGGUAAUCUACCAUCGAGUGGGGAAUAACCAACCGAAAGGUUGGCUAAUACCGCGUACGCCUCCGAAUCUUCGGGUUCGGAGGGAAAGCUGCACUGUGAGUGUAGCGCUCUUUGAUGAGCUCAUGUCCUAUCAGCUUGUUGGUAGGGUAAUGGCUUACCAAGGCUACGAUCUGUAUCCGGUCUAAGAGGACGGUCGGACACACUGACACUGAAUAACGGGUCAGACUCCUACGGGAGGCAGCAGUCGGGAAUUUUGGGCAAUGGGCGAAAGCCUGACCCAGCAACGCCGCGUGAAGGAUGAAGUAUUUCGGUAUGUAAACUUCGAAAGAAUAGGAAGAAUAAAUGACGGUACUAUUUAUAAGCUCCGGCUAACUACGUG